rnacentral:rRNA from 1 species
AACGAACGCUGGCGGCAGGCCUAACACAUGCAAGUCGAACGAACCUUUCGGGGUUAGUGGCGGACGGGUGCGUAACACGUGGGAACGUGCCUUUAGGUUCGGAAUAACUCAGCGAAACUUGUGCUAAUACCGGAUGAGACCUUCGGGCGAAAGAUUUAUCGCCUUUGGAUGGGCCCGCGUUUGAUUAGCUAGUUGGUUGGGGUAAUGGCUACCCAGGAGGCGAUCCAUAGCUUGGCUGAGAGGAUGAUCAGCCAGACUGGGACUGAGACACGGCCCAGACUGGUACGGGAGGCAGCAGAGGGGAAGAUUGGAGAAUGGGCGAGAGCCUGAUACAGCAAUGCCGGGUGAGUGAUGAAGGGCUUAGGGUUGUAAAGCGCUUUUACCCGGGAUGAUAAUGACAGUACCGGGAGAAGAAGCUCCGGCUAACUCCGUG